AGAAAUUUAGGUUAAUAAAACCAAGAGCCUUCAAAGCUCUAAAAGAGAGUACAAACUCCCAAUUUCUG
rnacentral:tRNA from 1 species